CAGCCUCCCGAGUAGCUGGGACUACAGGUGUCAAGGCAAAGACAAAGUCCCUAGAGGCACGGCCCAUGGAAUCUAAUAGCAGAAAGGAAGAGGGUGUUUAGGGAUGAGGGAAGGGCCAAAGGAAGUGGCCCUUCUAAGAGUACGUCUAGGAGAUUCGGGGCUUAGGUGCCUCAUGGAUCCUGUGAGACACAAGAGCUUGUUCUGAUGAAGCAGGCUGCCACGUUGUGAGCUGCGUAUGGAAAGGCCCAUGCUGCAUGGCACUGAGGAAUCUCCAGACAGCAGCCAGUGAGGAGCUGGAUCCUGCCAGCCACCAUGUGAGUGAGCUGGGAAGUGGAUCCAACCCCAUGUCAGCCUUGAGAUGGCCACAGCCCCACGGACAUCCCACCUGCAGCCUUGGGAGGGGCCUUGAGCCCAAGACCCAGCUAAGCCACACCUAGAUUCUCAACCCGGAGAAACAGUGAGAUAAUAAACCGUGCUGGUUUUUAAGCCACCUCGUUUUGGGGUAAUUUGUUACACAACAAUGGAUAACUAAUUCAGCCAGUAACAUAGGCAGAUAUGAGAUAGUGUAAAAUAUUUUAGAUUUUAAUGGUUAUCCUUUUGGGUUUUAGAAUGUUCCAGGUAGGUUCGCAAACCUGGUACCCACAUGUAGUCCAUCUGAGCUUCAGAUUCUGAACCUUCCUGAUUCAUAAAAUCUACCUAUCACCUGAAGUUGGGUGAAAACCACUGUUGCUUUACUAACAUCGAGGUGGUAGGUGGGCAAUGGGAGGUUGAAAAGGAUGAGGGCUAACCUUGGCUGACAACCUAUUGAACUCUGGCCCUUGCAGGAUGUUUUGCUGAAUGUUCAAGUAUCUCACUGAUCCUUAAGGCUAUCCAUGAAUCCUGAGGGGUGCAGUUAAGUAACUCACCCAGGAAUACCCAGCUAGUCAGAGGCAUGGCAAGACCUUCCUGCAGCUGUGACUUUGAAGCCAGCUGUAUGCCACAGGUUUCUGACCUUACUCUCACCAGUGGCCCUUUCCAGAAACAGCUGGUCUGCUGAGUGAGGACUGAUGGUGGAGAAAGCAGAAAGCCUGAGAUACCUUAUUAUUCCUGGGGAAAUAUGCCCAGGUAGACCUUUCCAGGGAAGUUGAAGAAUCUUCAUGUUGGCUUUGGGAGAGGUGACAUUCUGCCAUUGCUCCCUACUAAUGGAAUCCCUGUGAUUACUGGGAGCAUCCUCCUGCCCCAUAAAUAUCCCAGACCCUAUUGUCAUAGAGGGUACCCAAUAAGAUGUAAGUGGAAGUCACUGGAAGAAACUUCCAGUAAAGAUUUUUAAAAUUGCUGACCGAUCUGAUAGGUGCCUCCUCUUGCACUUCUUACCCCUUCUUGGUGCCUGGACUGUGGACAUAAUGGCUGGAGCUGCAGCAGCGUUUUAUGACCAUGCAAUGACCUUGACAGAGGAAGCUACUCUCUAAGAGCAGCAGAGCGUGAAGGUGGAAAGAGCCUUGGCCUGUUGGAGGGGAUGACCGGGGCGCCAUCAUUCUAACCCCUGACUAUUUACAUCAGGAGUUCUUUUAUGUGAAAGAAAAGUAAACCUUUUUC